AUACGAAUUAGUUUCUUUUUCUUGUUAACAUUAAUAAGUACUGCCUAAUCUUCAUAACUGCAAGUUCUAUAAGUUCAUGCACCAGGAAACUUCAAUUCACACAAGCUACAUUACGUUUCAGCAUUGAUGGAAGCAAGGAGAUCUGGAAACUAUGAACCAAGUGUUUAGAAUGACGAUUUUCUGCAGUCAAUAUUUACUCCAUAUGCGGUAAGAUAAAGAAAAUAACUAUCCUUUCAUUUCUCAUUGUGUGUCUCUGAUACUGUCAUAGUGUCAUGUUAAACCUGCAGGGAAAAGAGUACAUGCAACUCGUUGAGAAUCUGAAAGAAAAAAUAAGAAUUAUCAUCAACGAAACAGAAGAUGAGCUUCAUCAACUUGAGCUUAUUAAUAAUUUGCAAAGACUUGAUGUUUGUUACCACUUUAAGGAUGAAAUAAAAAAAGUAUUGGAGGAUAUAUAACUAACUAAUAAAGAUUCCGAUAAUACGAAUAAUAAGGAUUUGUAUUCAACAGCUCUAAAAUUUAGACUUCUUAGACAACAAGGAUACCAG
rnacentral:lncRNA from 1 species